AGAGUUUGAUCAUGGCUCAGAUUGAACGCUGGCGGCAUGCCUUACACAUGCAAGUCGAACGGCAGCGGGGCCUUCGGGUGCCGGCGAGUGGCGAACGGGUGAGUAAUGCAUCGGAACGUGCCAUUGAGUGGGGAUAACGUAGCGAAAGUUACGCUAAUACCGCAUAUUCUGUGAGCAGGAAAGCAGGGGACCGCAAGGCCUUGCGCUCUGGGAGCGGCCGAUGUCGGAUUAGCUAGUUGGUGGGGUAAAGGCCUACCAAGGCGACGAUCCGUAGCGGGUCUGAGAGGAUGAUCCGCCACACUGGGACUGAGACACGGCCCAGACUCCUACGGGAGGCAGCAGUGGGGAAUUUUGGACAAUGGGCGAAAGCCUGAUCCAGCCAUGCCGCGUGAGUGAAGAAGGCCUUCGGGUUGUAAAGCUCUUUCGGUGGGGAAGAAAUUGCAUAGGCUAAUACCCUAUGUAGAUGACGGUACCUGGAGAAGAAGCACCGGCUAACUACGUG
rnacentral:rRNA from 1 species